rnacentral:lncRNA from 1 species
AUUUUCUAAGAAAACCUUACAUAUUUUUGGUACUGCUCUUUUUUUUUUUUUUUUUUUUUUUUGAGGCGGAAUCUCUCUCGCCCAGGCUGGAGUGCAGUGGCGCGAUCUCAGCUCACUGCAAGCUCCGCCUCCCGGGUUCACGCCAUUCUCCCGCCUCAGCCUCCCUCAGCGUCCGGAGUAGCUAGGACUACAGGCGCCCGCUACCACGCCCGGCUAAUUUUUUUGUAGUUUUAGUAGAGACGGGGUUUCACCGUGUUAGCCAGGAUGGUCUCCAUCUCCUGACCUCGUGAUCCGCCCGCCUCGGCCUCCCAAAGCGUUGGGAUUACAGGAGUGAGCCACCGCGCCCGGCCGAUUCUUGAAGAAACUGCUCUCAUAAGCUAAGGUUCCUUAUGAUUCUGCAAGGAAGAGAAGACUAAAGCAAAUCACUGUCUGAAAACAUAACAGCUGGCUAAAGCUGGAGUGCAGUGGCAUGAUCUCGGCUCACUGCAACCUCCGCCUCCCGGGUUCAAGUGAUUCUCCUGCCUCAGCCUCCCAAAUAGCUGUGAUUACAGGGAACCCGUUGUUGCUCAGACACCCGAUGUGGAAAUUUUUCUUCUCCCUCAGUUCAAAUGAGAUAAAGAUCCUCCUCUCCUCACAGUGAACAUGAGGUCACAGUGUCCAUGUAACUAACUCCUGGUUAAGAGGAUAUGGAUAGAAGGCACAUGUUCAACUUCUGGCUUCUGUCCUUGAAAAGUGUGAUGAUUCCAUCCUUUGCUGUCUUCCUUCCCGCUGACUGGAAUGUGGACUUGGUAGUGAGCUACCUUGGACUAUGUGGAUGAAGACAAAGAUAAAAGGAACCAAGGACUCUGAUGAUUCUGUAGAGAAGAGGAACCGUAGCUGCUCAAACGUUCAUGUGAAAGAAGAAUAAACUAUCAGAUUUAAGCCACUGCUAUUUUGGGUCUUUGUGAUAAACAGUGUUUACCAUAUCCUAAUUCACUAUUCCUUCCAUUUCUAGGUCAACCAUGUUGAAUUAAAUAUAGUGCUCUAACUUGCAA